GCUGCACAAGCAGGGCCGUGGGAGGAAGGAAAGAGAGUUUUGUGGUUACGUCUCAGAUUUGGAACCUUGGAUGUGAGAGCUCUGCUGCCAGUCCUGUUUCCAUGUGACUCCAAGCAAACCAUGGAGCUUGUUUUCCACACUGUGUUGUAGCACCAUGUCACAGUGGCUGCAUUCUCUGACUGACAGAGUCCCAAUUUCUUCUUCAGGGCUUUCUGCCACCCUGAGCUGCAGAUAUUCCCAAUUAGACCUCAGCAGAAAGCAGAGCUUUUGUGGGCAUAGGAGAAAGGACAACAAAGCUUCUCUUGUAAUAUUUAGCUCCACUGUUAUGUGAUGCCUCACCUCUGGCCUGAGCCCAGCCUCACCAGCUGGAAAAUGGGUGAGUGGACACAAAGGGGGCUGGACAAUGCUUCCCCUACAAGGAUCAGUUGGUGCAGUGACACAGUAAUUUAUUACCCUCAGUUUUUGGGAAGUUUAUGAAAGAAGGAGUGCUUGGAGGUUGGCUUUUUUGCUUUCAGUUUACAAUUUUCAGUUUCUAAGGAGUUUCAGUGACAAAAUACCUCUUGCUGAACUUCAUAACAUGACUAUGUUGAUGAUGCCUGAAAACCAUUCUCAGAAAAGCUUUCGUAUUAGUUUACCACGAAAAUGAAACAAUGCAAAUAUUUUUCAAAUAAUAUCAUCAAAUUCUUUGCAAGAAAAUGCAAAGAUUUUUCAAAUAAUAUCAUCAAAUUCUUUGCAAGCACACUUCAUAGAGAGUAUGUUUUGUGUUUGAGACCAAAGAUUUGUCACAGAAAACAACAAUUUUUGGAUAGAGAUGUAUGAUGUACAGGUUUGCUCUUUGCCGGUAUAGGCUCAGGCUGGAUAAUUUUGCAAAUUAUGUAUUUUUCUUGUUUUACAUUUCCAAUAAAUCCCCUCUCUGCCUACACCCUCUGGGUUUGGGGGUGCUCAUGGCCACCUGAUCUGAUGUAGAUCAGAGAUUUCUCCUGCUGAAAGCCUUUUGCUGCUGGUUGGCCUCUGACUACAGUAAAAGCCUUCACACCAGCUUGCAAGCCACAGCCUCCUUUCAGUAGCCCUGAUAACAUCUCAGUGCUCCCAGCAGGAGCUUGGGCUGUCCCUCUCCCAGGCUGGACAACAGCAUUACCAGAGGCGUGCUGCACAGUGGAAUUCAGCAAAAGCCCUCCAUAUGUUUUAUGCAAAAGAAAACAUUACUUUUGGCACCGUGUUUUGCACCAGAAGCCAAUUGCCACCAGAAUACAGAUGCAGGACUUGCCAGAACAAACCUAAUUGCAAUACUUCGGAGGUGUUUUGUAUUUUUCUUCCUAAUUGUGUCCAGGUGUGUUGAAUUGUUUGAGGGAAAUUCAUAGUGUUGAGAAACACAAAAGGGUGAACUGUUUAGCUAAUGAUUGCAGCAAUAUAUUUGCUGAUUUUGAAUCUCUGAAUUAAUUUUUUGCUUUGUUGGUUUCAAAAAUCUAAAUAAAUAGCAUUACAUGUAACAGCUACUUCUGAGAUGCUUACUGUUGGAAUUUAUGGAUACACAAAUAUAAGAAUUAAUGGAUUAUUUUUGAGUAAGCACUAAUAGGUGAAAGAAAAAGUAAGGGAAAAUAAGGUAAAGAUUAUUCGAACAUUUCCCAAAUAUUUAAAAAUCGGGCUUUCAAUCAAACCCAAAUAUUUUUAAGAAUUUUGAUCCAUAAAGCAUUUUUACUAUUUUUACUCUUCAUCUUGGUUCAGUAUAUUUUUAUGAGUUCCUGAAAGUAUUUGAGUGAAGCAGAAGUUUUAUUUCAUCAGUUGUAACUUCUAUUACAAAUGGGAUAGCUGUGUGAUGGUAAAUGCUGCAAAUAGACAUAUUCCUCCAAAAUCCUCCUUCUAUGGCACUUCUUCAUUGACAACAUUGAGAUAACCACAGUCUUUUCCCAUUGUCAAAUAUUUUGUGAUUUGCCAGCACACACAGAACUCAACCUAAGAACAGAAAAGUACUUUUCCUACCAGCAAUGCCUGAAGAAUAAAGAAAAGAAAAUGCUAUAGGAUGAGUAAAAAAGGAAUAGCCAAGGGAAACGUGGAAGGUAGCUGGUUUCUUUGUGUGUGUAGAUACACAGAGGCUGUGCACACGCAGGCAAUUUUCACAACGCCUGUUAAAUCAUGUGAAAAACUCACUGAGCCCAAUAGCUCAUUUCAGUGUCAUUUGCUAACAAAAAUGCAUGUGUGUGCAUCUCCCUUGGAUAGCCUCUUUGGGUAUUGGGGAGCCCUUCAAAGACAGUUCUUAAAUCUAUUAAAUACUCAUUCUGAUUUUAAAAUGGAUGACUUUAUUUACCUGUGAAAUUCUCUUUGCAGGUGGGGCUGAAAUUCAAGGUGGCCCCACAUAUGGGACUGUGGCUUUAUCUCAGAAAUAGUCUCACUCCCCAAAAAGCAAAACAAGAAAAAAAAUCAAGCAGUUCCAACAUUAAGACCCUGAAUAUAGAGGUCUGGAACAGAAAUAUAUUAUUAAAGGCAGUGAGGGACUCCUGUUUCCUCACCCAUUGGUGUGGGGUUUGCUGGAUGGUGUGGGCAGAGAAAUGGGUCGUAAAUAACGCAAUGGGCUUCAGCAGAGAGGUGGGUAAUUGCCAGUGGAGCCUCAGAUUAUCUUGUUUCACAAAAUAGGCUAUGUUACCACAGGGAAAAAAGAAGAAGGAAAAUUGCAGACAAAACCAGUUAAGACUCUUGUUUGGACAGACAAGAUCUGCUGGCUGCAUUGCUCCCAUCACCCUCUGCUAGGGCACAGUCAGUUGGAUGCCAGGAAAGGGAUUUCACUCCAUGCAGUGGCAGGGAGGUGGCACAUUGCCAGCUGAUACCACCCUGGGUUUCAUACUUGAAUUUUCAAGGUGGGAAAUUCAAAUUGCUGAGGAACUGUAGCACCCUGGCACGCUGCUGCAAGACAGACCCCAGGCAAAGUGAGCUAAUGUUGUGGUAACAGCUAUUUCCUGUUAUUUUGGCAUGGGUUCAUUUUAUCUUUCUGAAGCAUUCACUGGGAUAGAAAGCAAUUUCACCUUCUUUAAACCACAGAGUGAGGCAGGAGAGAACAGAGACUGCAGUCCCACUGCAGGCACUGUGCAUUCACCCAUCACCCAGCAGUGCUCCCUUCCACUGAGACCAAGGGUAGGAAAACAAGACUGGCAACCAUUUUUCCAAGGAAUUAGCUGUGUGCUUACCAUGAAGUUCAGGCUGGCUCUGUGUUUUUAUGCUGGGAUUCAACUUGACUUUGGAAUGACAGAGGUCUGUCAUCAAGUUAAGCAGUAGAAGCCAGUGAUAAUUUUUUUCCAGUCUGAAGCCUGCCAGGAUGAAGUCAACUUACCCGCAGGUUUUGAAAAAAAUGAGAUGGUAGAUCAAGUUUUUAUCACAUAAGUGUUUGGUAUUGUGAAGUUGUGAUGGUCUUUAUUUGAAAAUGGGUGUCUUAAAGCUGGAUUUAUGGUGUGGCCAUAAAUGCUUUCAGUGAUUUCAGUGUCACUGGUAGUUUCUCCUUGUGAUUCACAAAGAUUUUGGUUUUCUCUGAAAGCUGAAUCAAAGCUAUGACCCAAGUAAAAAAUAAUCACUUUCAGCUUGGUAGCUCUUACCAGACAGUCUCUACCUGACUUGGAAGAUGACUUUUCAAACUGACUAGUUCAGUAUUAUGUUUGGUAGAAACUGUGUUAGGAGGGUCUAAGCCUAUGAUAAUAAUUUCUGUGGCAAGGUGAAGGGUUUUCAAUUGCAAGUCUGCCUCUGCUAUAUUUCUGUCAUUAAGUCGCUUAAAAAGACAAGCAAAAUAUUGCCUCUAAUUUUUUUAAAUACAGUUGGUGCAUUUAUCACAACAUUUUGCCUUUUCCUCUUGUUUGAUUUCAUUCCACA